GGGGCGGAGAGCCGAGCCGGGGCGGGGUGGGGGGGAGGGGCCGUGGGAACGGAUGGCGGCCUGGGCCCGGUAGCAGCGGCGGCUUUACGGCCCGGGGCCCCGGGCGGGCGGAGGUGGCGGCUCCCGGGACCGGCCGCGCGCAAUGAUGUUGUCCACUGGGCAUGUACUGACCAAUGUGGCAGGUCUGAGAACGUAGCUGAAGCUGAAAAUAGGAAAGCUGGGGGCAAGGAAGAGCCUUGAAUCUUGAGGUGGGACGUUGACUCUAAGAUGUCCUUGAGCAGUGGAGCCUCCGGAGGGAAAGGAGUGGAUGCAAACCCGGUUGAGACAUACGACAGUGGGGAUGAAUGGGACAUUGGAGUAGGGAAUCUCAUCAUUGACCUGGACGCCGAUCUGGAAAAGGACCAGCAGAAACUGGAAAUGUCAGGCUCAAAGGAGGUGGGAAUACCGGCUCCCAAUGCUGUGGCCACACUACCAGACAACAUCAAGUUUGUGACCCCAGUGCCAGGCCCUCAAGGGAAGGAAGGCAAAUCAAAAUCCAAAAGGAAUAAGAGUGGCAAAGACACUAGCAAACCCACUCCAGGGACUUCCCUGUUCACUCCAAGUGAGGGGGCAGCUAGCAAGAAAGAGGUGCAGGGGCGCUCUGGAGAUGGUGCCAGUGCUGGAGGCCUGGUUGCUGCUAUUGCUCCCAAGGGCUCAGAGAAGGCGGCUAAGGCAUCCCGCAGUGUAGCUGGUUCCAAAAAGGAGAAGGAGAACAGCUCAUCUAAGAGCAAGAAGGAGAGAAGCGAAGGAGUGGGGACUUGUUCAGAAAAGGAUCCUGGGGUCCUCCAGCCAGUUGCCUUGGGAGGACGGGGUGGUCAGUAUGAUGGAAGUGCAGGGGUGGAUACAGGAGCUGUGGAGCCACUUGGGAGUAUAGCUAUUGAGCCUGGGGCAGCGCUCAAUCCUUUGGGAACUAAACCGGAGCCAGAGGAAGGGGAGAAUGAGUGUCGCCCGCUAAAGAAAGUCAAGUCUGAAAAGAUGGAGUCCCCUGUUUCUACACCAGCGGUACUGCCAAUACACCUUUUGGUGCCAGUGGUCAAUAAUGACAUCUCAUCUCCUUGUGAGCAGAUCAUGGUUCGUACCCGAUCAGUUGGGGUCAACACAUGUGAUGUGGCUCUAGCCACAGAGCCUGAGUGCUUGGGCCCCUGUGAACCUGGAACUAGCGUCAACCUUGAAGGCAUCGUGUGGCAGGAAACGGAAGAUGGGAUGUUGGUGGUAAAUGUAACGUGGAGGAACAAGACAUAUGUGGGUACACUUCUUGACUGCACACGACAUGAUUGGGCACCCCCAAGGUUCUGUGACUCCCCGACCAGUGACCUGGAAAUGCGCAAUGGUCGGGGUAGAGGCAAACGCAUGCGUCCCAACAGUAACACACCUGUCAAUGAGACAGCCACAGCCUCUGACAGCAAAGGGACCAGUAGCAGCAGCAAAACCCGAGCAGGAGCCAAUAGCAAAGGCCGUCGGGGCAGCCAGAAUUCUUCGGAGCAUCGCCCACCUGCCAGCAGCACUUCUGAGGAUGUCAAGGCCAGCCCUUCCUCAGCUAAUAAGCGGAAAAACAAACCUCUUUCAGACAUGGAACUGAAUUCUAGCUCAGAGGACUCCAAAGGGAGCAAACGUGUCCGUACUAAUUCCAUGGGCUCAGCCACUGGCCCACUCCCUGGGACCAAGGUAGAACCCACUGUUCUGGACAGAAACUGUCCCUCCCCAGUCCUGAUUGACUGUCCCCACCCAAACUGCAACAAGAAGUACAAGCACAUCAAUGGACUUAAGUACCACCAAGCUCAUGCCCAUACAGAUGAUGACAGCAAGCCGGAAGCAGAUGGGGACAGUGAGUACGGAGAGGAACCUAUUCUCCAUGCAGAUCUUGGGAGCUGCAAUGGUGCAUCUGUCACACAGAAAGGUUCCUUGUCCCCUGCCCGCUCAGCUACCCCCAAAGUUCGGCUUGUAGAGCCUCAUAGCCCUUCUCCUUCAAGCAAAUUCAGCACAAAAGGCCUCUGUAAGAAAAAGUUGAGUGGGGAAGGCGACACAGACCUUGGGGCCUUAUCCAAUGAUGGCUCUGAUGAUGGACCCUCAGUGAUGGAUGAAACAAGCAACGAUGCCUUUGAUACUUUAGACAGGAAGUGUAUAGAAAAAGAAAAAUGUAAAAAACCUUCUACUUUAAAACCUGAAAAGAUUCCUUCCAAGAGCUUAAAGUCAGCCCGUCCCAUUGCCCCUGCCAUACCCCCACAGCAAAUCUACACCUUCCAGACGACCACCUUUACAGCAGCAAGCCCAGGCUCUUCCUCAGGCUUGACCGCCACAGUGGCACAAGCCAUGCCCAACAGUCCCCAACUUAAGCCCAUUCAGCCCAAGCCCACUGUUAUGGGAGAACCGUUCACAGUCAACCCUGCCUUGACUCCAGCCAAGGAUAAGAAAAAGAAAGACAAAAAAAAGAAGGAAUCUUCGAAGGAACUUGAAAGUCCUCUGACCCCAGGGAAGGUGUGUCGAGUAGAAGAAGGCAAAAGCCCAUUCAGGGAGUCUUCAGGAGAUGGGAUGAAAAUGGAGGGGCUCCUAAAUGGCUCAUCAGACCCCCACCAAAGCCGACUGGCUAGCAUCAAGGCUGAAGCUGACAAGAUCUACAGCUUCACGGACAAUGCCCCCAGCCCUUCCAUUGGAGGCAGUAGCCGCCUUGAAAACACUACCCCUACUCAGCCCCUAACUCCCUUACAUGUAGUGACCCAGAAUGGAGCUGAAGCCAGCUCAGUCAAAACCAACAGCCCUGCAUACUCUGACAUUUCUGAUGCUGGGGAGGAUGGGGAGGGCAAGAUAGACAGUGUCAAAUCAAAGGACGCUGAGCAAUUGGUUAAAGAAGGGGCUAAGAAAACUCUUUUCCCCCCUCAGCCUCAGAGCAAAGACUCACCAUAUUACCAAGGCUUUGAGAGUUACUAUUCUCCAAGUUAUGCACAGUCCAGCCCAGGGGCUCUGAACCCCAGCAGCCAGGCAGGAGUGGAGAGCCAGGCCCUAAAGACUAAAAAGGAUGAGGAACCUGAGAGCAUAGAAGGGAAAGUGAAGAACGAUGUCUGUGAGGAAAAGAAACCUGAACUGAGCAGUUCCAGUCAGCAGCCUUCGGUCAUCCAGCAGCGUCCCAACAUGUACAUGCAGUCCCUGUACUACAACCAGUAUGCCUACGUGCCCCCCUAUGGCUACAGUGACCAGAGUUACCACACCCACCUUCUGAGCACUAACACGGCUUACCGGCAGCAGUAUGAAGAACAGCAGAAACGUCAGAGUUUAGAGCAGCAGCAGCGGGGAGUGGACAAGAAGGCAGAGAUGAGCCUGAAGGAGCGGGAUGCAGCACUCAAGGAAGAGUGGAAGCAAAAGCCGUCAAUUCCACCAACUCUCACCAAGGCCCCCAGCCUGACAGACCUGGUAAAGUCAGGACCUGGCAAGGCCAAGGAGGCAGGGGCUGACCCAGCCAAAUCAGUCAUCAUUCCCAAGUUAGAUGACUGUUCAAAACUCCCUGGCCAGGCCCCUGAAGGCCUAAAAGUGAAGCUGAGUGACGCCAGCCACCUAAGCAAGGAGGCCUCUGAGGCCAAGACAGGCGCUGAGUGUGGUCGACAGGCAGAGGUGGAUCCAAUACUCUGGUACCGACAGGAAGCAGAGCCCCGGAUGUGGACAUAUGUUUAUCCUGCCAAGUACUCAGACGUCAAGUCAGAGGAUGAGCGGUGGAAGGAGGAGCGGGACCGCAAAUUGAAGGAGGAAAGGAGUCGGAGUAAGGACUCCAUCCCCAAGGAAGAUGGAAAGGAAAGCACAAGUAAUGACUGCAAGCUGCCCACGUCGGAGGAGUCUCGCCUUGGGAGCAAGGAGCCUCGGCCAAGUGUCCAUGUGCCUGUGUCCUCCCCGCUCACCCAGCACCAGUCCUACAUCCCCUACAUGCACGGCUAUUCGUACAGCCAAUCCUACGACCCCAACCACCCCAGCUACCGCAGUAUGCCUGCUGUGAUGAUGCAGAACUACCCAGGUUCCUACCUGCCUUCCAGCUACUCUUUUUCCCCAUAUGGCAGCAAGGUCUCAGGUAGUGAAGAUGCUGACAAGGCACGAGCCAGCCCCAGUGUCAGUUGUAAAUCCAGCUCUGAGUCCAAAGCCCUGGACAUCUUGCAGCAGCAUGCCAGUCACUACAAGAGCAAGUCUCCCACGAUAAGUGAUAAAACUUCUCAGGAGAGAGAUCGAGGAGGCUGUGGGGUGGUUGGGAGUGGUGGCAGUUGUAGCAGCGUUGGGGGAGCUGGUGGGGGUGAACGGAGUGUUGACCGGCCCCGCACCUCUCCUUCCCAGCGCCUGAUGUCCACACACCACCACCACCACCACUUGGGGUACUCGUUGCUCCCAGCACAGUACAACUUACCCUAUGCAGCAGGGCUUUCUUCUACAGCCAUUGUUGCCAGCCAGCAAGGCUCAACUCCCUCACUCUACCCACCCCCCAGGAGGUGAGAAUGACACCAAGUGCCCGGAUAAAGUCAGCUUCACGGGCCCGGACUGGCUCACGGAGGUGCUGAAGGUGCCAUUUAGACAUCAGUUAAAUGGUGUUGAUCAUCCUGUUUGCCGUUUCCACCAUGACUGAAGGCAGACCCUUGGCUAUGUCGCCCACCAGACCUCCGGACUACCUGACCCUCCCUCUUCCUCAGGAGCUGGAGAGCUGUGGUCUUCAAUAGCAAGUUUUUUUUUUGAAGAGGGAAAUCUUGACUGGGUGCCUUUCUGACUCUAGCUGUAUUGAAGAGGAACCACCAAUAGGUGGCAGCAGAAUCUCAAGCAGGUUUCUUGGGAAAAGGUAAGGGACUGAGUUUUGUCUUGGUUUUUAAUUUGUCUUGUAGAUUCCCUGUGUUUGAGUUUAAUAUCUGUAUCCUAAACUGCCAGCUGUCUCUAGGAAUUACCUGCUCAGUGGGGGACAUCUGAUUUCAACUGAAUGUCUCUAGUCCUGGAUUUGCUGUAAUAACAUGUCCCAGGCACAGUGGCUUAUGCCUGUAAUCCCAGCACUUUGGGAGGCUGAGGUGGGUGGAUCACUUGAGGCCAGGAGUUCAAGACCAGCCUGAGCAACAUGGCGAAACCCUGUCUCUAUUAUAAAUACAAAAAAUUAGCUGGGUCUGGUGGUGCACGUCUGUAAUUCCAGCUACUCAGGAGGUUGAGGCAGGAGAAUCACUUGAAAACUCAGGAAGUAGAGGCUGCAGUGAGCAAGACUGCACCACUGCACUCCAGCCUGGACAACAGAGCGAGACUCCAUCUCCAAAAAAAAAAAACCUUGAAAGUGGAGCUCAUUACUUUUUGGUUUGAGACAGUCUCGCUCUUGUCACCCAGGCUGGAGUGCAAUGGCACGAUCUCAGCUCACUGCAGCCUCCACCUUCCUGGGUUCAAGCACUUCUCCUGCUUCAGCCUCCUGAGUAUCUGGGAUUACAGGCACGUGCCACCAUGCCAGGCUAGUUUAUUUUGUAUUUUUAGUAGAGACAGGGUUUCACCACAUUAGCCAGGAUGGUCUCGAUCUCCUGACCUGGUGAUCAGCCCGCCUCAGCCUCCCAAAGUGCUGAGAUCAAAGGCGUGGGCCACUGCACCCAGCCCUCAUUACAUUUUAAUGAAUAUAAGGUAGAAUCCAAGAUUAAUUAACUUGGCCAGAGUGAAAACACAAGCAAGCUCCAUAAAGAGCAGUGUGAGAGCCACGGCUCAACAGUAGCCAGUUGCAAAAACGGAGGAGGUGAAGAACAUGCCCUUUACUUUGCAAAACAGAAGCAAAAGAAAGUGCAAGUUCUGGAGAAAUUAAAAAAGAAAACUAUGGUGAAGGGGAUUCCAGCCCCCUGGGUCCCACUGAGAGCUUAUUCAUUAGGCUAUGGUGUGGGGGACUGAAAGCCACACCUUAGGACACUGGGCUCCAAAAGGAGAAAACUAGAAUAGGGAAGGUGUGUGCUGCACCCUUCAAAGACCUCAGGAAUGGGAAUGUCAGGCAGCUCCACGCAAAAGCCAAAACCCACUUUCAGGGCCAGCUUCCCCAGCCUUUGGAGAAAAGGAAGAGCUAAGAGCAGCUUGGAUGUUAGCUGGAUCUUAGUAUUGCCUCUCCUAGGUGAAGCUCCUGUGUACCCAUCUCUAGGGGGCUCUGGCAGUGAGUCUCAGGCUCCUAGCAACCCCACAUUUCACAGUGUAAUAAGGCCCCAGAGACCUCGGCCACUUCAUCUGCCCUCCUACACUACAGCUUUUUUCCCCGAGAAGCAGGCACCACAGCUCUAUUAGAUUAGGCUCUGGACUUAAACAGUUUGGUAGGGAGUUGGUCCUAGUUCAGAAAUAAAGAAUAGACCAACCACAACUUUAAAUCAGUUUAUUGACACAGUAACACAACACACUUGCCUCCCUGACAUCCCCAUUCCCCUCAUCCAGUCUAGAUUUCUCCCCUUCCUCUCCCCUUAAAACAAGCUGUUCAGUGAAAACAGUUAAGGGCAGGCCACUUCUGCACUCCCAGCACUACCCUAGGCCCUGCAGAGCAGGGUCUCAGGCACUACUCAGAACCUGCUGGGGAGGCAGUUAGCACUAUACUCAGCCAGCCAGAAACAACCAGUCCCUAAGAACAAAUUUCCCCACAAUUCCCAGGCCCUGAGUUGCUAAUAUAUUCCUCUUUCUUACUGCUCUUUGUGACCCCAGGAAGGAGACCUUGGGGCCUGGGCCUGCAGCCAGGAGCAAGAACUCCCGGCAGUGAUUUGAGAAUUCGAGUUUGGCUAGUGUUUUUUAAGGCCCAGGCACCCCCCAAAAAAGCCCUGGUGGUGGUGGGAGUAAACUUCAGUGCCCCUAUUUAAAAUGUACUGAUAACAUUAAACAGAUUAAGCCAGCUUAACCAAAUGCCAGAAUAACACUAAACUGUAGAGAAGGAGGGGUCGGACCUGCUUACUCCAGGCCAGACACAAACGCACACAGAGAAGGCCAGGUAAGAGUGUCAAAACAACUCAAGGACACUGCCCAGGGAUGAAAAGCCUAUACUCAGGAGCCCCUGGGGUGACAGGAAGCAAGGAAAGAAAAUGCGCAAGUCUUAAUAACCAAAACAGAAAGCCAACAGCAGGGAAACCUGAGCCUGACAGUGCUGCCCACCAGCCCUCCAGGCCAUUCCCCUGAACCCAGACAGUCCCUCCCCCUCUAGGCAAUGUCCUCCCCUAGGCUAGAUAGAGCACAUCACACAGCGCAGUUUAAAAAGCUUCUAAUGCCAGUUCAUAAACAUCUUCAUUUACUAUUGGUGAUUACAUGUGAAUAAUAUGUUUAUACUGUUCUUUAUGGAAAACAAUUUCAACGAGUCAACUCCCAGAACACAAUAGGCAACCCUUACCCUGAGCUCCUCAGUGUCCUUCCCUAGACAGCAAGGAGCCCUCUCCUCUGUCCCAGGGCUGCCUAACUUCCCCUGUUCCCCCACUGUGGCUCUUGGGCAAAGCAUCCUCUAUGACCAUUAGUCCUCAUCGGACAAGUUGUGGUCCAGGGGAUAAACCAUGAACAUCACAUCUGGCUGAGAGGGAACACAGGGAUGGCCUGGACGUACAAUCUCAAAGCCCAAGAAGCUGAAGGUCUUCAGGAGUGGAGCUGCAGAAGAUAGAGUGUAAAAGAGAAUCCGAUGAGAAACACAAGGGUAGGCUCAAAUCAAAACCCCAAAGAUAAGACAAAUAAGCACUAGGCUUUUACUAACCUUCUGGGCACUUGCCCUCCUGCCAGGAUUUCCCAUGGUUUAUAAGGCAAAUUCAAGAGUCCCACACCUCAUUGUAGAGGUAAUCCCUUCUCUCCCCAGGUCCCGUUUGGGCUGCGGGGCUCCGGCCAGUCUGACUCCUUACCUCUGUCUUCUCGGCCCUUCCUGAAGCAGAUGAAGACGUAGUUCAGUUUCAUCUUUUCUUCAGCAAACUCUAGCAGUGCUAACAAUCUGCAGGAAGCAGAGAAGUACUUAGGCCCAUCACCACCUCCCUUGACCUCCCUCCCAUUCACACCCCACCCCUACCCCUACCAACCUAAAGGCUUUUCUGAGGCCUAAAGGCAGCAAUAUAAAUACAGAAGCUCCAGGAGGAAGAUUCCUAUGUCAAGACCCCAAGAGCCUUGAAUUCAUAAAGAAAAAAGCCACAGCACCUAAGAAAAAUGAUGUUGACUUUUCUCUUCCUGUAAUGGGCGUUCUUCUGAAAGUAAAACACUACCCACCUUAACUAAUGCUGUUCACAAGAUAGAGUUUGAGGCCUAGAAUGAGAACCCCAGUUCUUGAGGUGUCCCCCAGAUUGCCAAGUUUGAUAUGAUCACCUGCCACUGAGAGGACACUGGGCUCUAACACUGCCUAAAAGGAUUUUCUCAGGAGGCUGGGGCCACUCAAGAAUUCUGUCUUCAGGUCAUUUCUUACACACCUGGGCCACUUGGAGGGUCUCUGCCCAAUCCAAAAUGAAGUCCCACUUACCCAUGAGCUUCCUGGCCUUUUAAACUGCACCACUAUGGUAGCUAAAGGGGGACUUGGUGUCUGCUGAGAACCUGAACCAUGAGGCGAUUAACUGGCAGGCAUUUGGUUAAUGUGGUAACGAUCUCCUUUAAUUAUAACCUAGAGCUGGCCUGUCUUACCGGCUAAAAAUAACCUGUUACAAAACAGUAUCUGCUUGGGGAGUCUAGAGCUAAGGGAGAAGGCACAGACUCCCCUAUAAUUCUGUUACCCACAGUAGACAUAUACCCUUCUCUGGAAUGGGACCUCCUUUCCCUUCCCCAGCAUUUGGCUCUUUACCCUUCUUUGCUCCCAUCAGCUAAUAAUCCAUCUGGGAUUUCUACAAACAGGCUCUGGCUGGACAGGACUGCAUCCCAAGAAGAGACCUUCACCUCGGUGACCUCAUACUGGAAGUGGAUAAUGUGAGGUUUUCCAUCAUUCACAGGGAGGUCCUGGGUCACAGUGAGCUUCUCGUCCUGGGAAGGAAAGCAGGGCAGAGGACCAGGUCACUACUGCUUCUGGCCAUAUCAUGUACUCCCUAAUGGAGUCAGUGCUGGGAGUCCCCUUAGGCCAGUCUCAGGGUAGCACAGGAUGAAGGGCAUGCUAAAAACGCAGAGCUUCAUGAUGGCUAAAAGCUGUCACUCAACAGGGCACUAAGACCAGCUGACGGUGGUAAAAGCUAGCAAGAUAGGAUGGGAAAUACUUACUAGUUGUCCACUAGGUGUCAAGUACAAAGUGCUGUCCCAUAUAUUACCUCCAUCAAGACAAGCACUUGAGAUGGGUAUUAACAACUCCAUUUUAAAUCUGAGACUGAAGCAACUGCUCCAAAGAUAAUGAAUGGCAAAGAUGCGAUUCAAACCCAGGUCUCCCUGACUCGAAACCCCAUGCUUUUCCCCAACACCAUGUUCUUUUCCUUUCCUGUCAGAAAGGGAAACAUCAAAAACAAGGAUAUGUGUGAGGGUUUGGCUGGAGCCCCAGUCAGCCAAAGCCUGCUUCCAACGGGACUGUAGGGUCUGCGUUAUCUCCCCUGGGCAGAGUCUCAAGAGCCCAGAAUUUAGCUGCCGUGCUAACCUUCCAUCCCAGUCUUAGGGAGAGAAGCUAAAUUAACUUCUGGGCGUCAAUUUACAGCAGAUUAAAAGGGAACAAAUGGUACAGGUAUCUUUCCUUUAGUAUUCCCAAUAAGCCACACAACAGCCUCAGUUGAAAGAGUCCUUCACAGUCCCCCACUGGUCUAGUCAAAGAGCCGGAAGACUCAAGAGAUACCACCCUUGAGCAACAGCUCAGUGGAGUAUGAGAAGGCUCCAUCCCCAGCCUUCCAUCCCAGGGUCCUCCUUACCUUAUAUAUUAGAGCUGAGAGAGAAGGAUCCCUGCCGCCCCCUCGCCCACCGGGGAUCUUCGACAGUGGGUGAGGGGCAUCAGGAGCACCACAGAGGCCCCGGAACAAUGUGCCUGCAGCACUGGAGCUGGGGACAGUUACUCAAAGGCAAAAUACUACUGCAAGAGAGAGAGGGUGAGACAGUAAACACCAAGACUUGAAGAUUUAUCCCAAAUCCCACCCCAGCCCGGCUCUGUAAACCAAUGUGUGAAGGCUCUCCUGCUGCCCCAGUCCUAUGGGCUUCAGCUCCCAGAACUACACUGCUAUCUUAAGGGGAAGCUACUGUGCUGCAGACGUAUAGGGAGGGAGUCUUGGAAGAGCCAAGGGAGUCCAACUGGGUAUAUCUGCCCAGAGGAGCAUCUAGCAAACGUCUUCUAACAAAUCACUGUGGCAAUGUGCAGACCUCAGAAAUCACCAGAUCCUGGCUUACCUGCCAAGCCUCAAACUGUGUGCUAGUCUGUUUUCCUUUCCCUGUUGGUACCUCAACCACCUAUGUGGCAGAAUCACGAAAGCCCAGUCACAUCACGCUGGAGACAGGAAGUCAUGUGGCCUGGGUACUGUGUCCCCGAGGAACUCUCAAGGCCACUUCCUCAAUGAUGGUCCCAUCCCCUUUCUCAGCAAAGGAACUGGAGUGAUAAAACAUUUAACCAAAUCCCUUGAUGGUUAAGAAUAGAACUAAAUCCAGGGACUUGGCUCCCAGAGCAGAGGUACACAAUAGUACAUAGAAUACUGUGCUAAAUGAUUUUGCCCCUGGUAUGCCACCAAACGCUGGACCUCCUUGCCCUUCUUUGCUGAUCCUUUUGUGACCUGAGCAUGAGAGGUCAGGUAAUACUGCUGUGGUCAGAGCAGACACUCAGAUGUGCUAGGUGCGGGGUAUAUGCUGGGAGAGGAGGAUACAAUGCUAUGACCUGAGUAAGGAAGCCAAUAAUCAGAUUAUAGCAAGUAAAAGGCUCCUAAAGGAGUUCCCUGUCACCUUAUUGGCCACCUUGAUUUUCAGAUGGACCCAACAGGGCUGUAGAUCUGCUCAACUGUCUUCUUUGAAUCCAAUUUAGUGGUUCCUUAGGCUGAGAUGCAGCUCAUUUCCUAGGCCAAUGGCAAGUGAAGCAGGGAAAAGGGUAAACUGUGUGUGCAUGUAUACACCAUGACUUCAGCAACAGACAUGUCCCCCAGCCACCACACAUCAGCCUCAGAGCAGCUGGAAUGCAGUGGAUACAUGGAGGGGGUAUUGCAGUGCUAUGCUGGGGUUAGCUCACACAAUCAUGCACAUCUCUUCCCAAAUAGGUGUUUAACGAUGUCGUGUUGAUACUCUCAACUGGCUAAAGGAGGAGUACUUACACUGCAGAAGUCACCAAAUGCUGUAAAUCACGGCUUUUUUUUUUCCUGAAAGCCAUUGUAAAAUGGUGUGAAGUAACUAUUCUUCACACGGUCCUUUGCUUUAUAUAGCAUGGCAUGCCAAUUUUGGACUCUUCUAAAUGAAGAGCAACAGAACUGAACUCACGCCUAACAUAGCAAUGGUACAAUAACCGAAGGGUCAGUCCUAUUAGCAGAUCUGUAUCUGCACUCCAGCUGAAAAUGGAAGUCCAAACCGUCACUUCUCAGUUCCUAGGGUUCUCUCAAAGAUUUCAACUGGGGGCCGACAAGUAUACUUGGAAAUUUGAGAAACAGAAUUCCCAGCAAAGUGUCCAUGAGUCUGCAGCAUCAAUAUCUAAGGGUGCACUUUGGGAGGCUGAGGUGAGCGGAUCACUUGAGCUCAGGAGUUCAAGACCAGCCUGGCCAACACGGUGAAACCCCAUCUCUACUAAAAGUAUAAAAAUUAGCCAGGCAUGGUGGCAGGCACCUGUAAUCCCAGCUACUCAGGAGGCUAAGGCAGGAGAACUGCUUGAACACAGAAGGUGGAAGCUGCAGUGAGCCAAGAUUGAGCCACUGCACUCUAGCCUGGGCAACAGAGCCAGACUCCUCCAAAAAAAAAAAAAAAAAUAGGGGUGUAACCACAUGCCUGCCUCUGGAAAACCUCAGGUCAUCCUCACCUCCUCUACUCUUGGCCUCACCAACAGCUGUUAACAGAAAGGGCCGGGCUGGGCACAGUGGCUUGCACCUGUAAUCCCAACACUUUGGGAGACUGAGGAGAGCAGAUCACUUGAGGUCAGGAGUUCGAGACCAGCCUGGCCAAUAUGGUGAAACCCCAUCUCUACUAAAAAUAAUAAAAAAAAAAAAAAUAGGUGCGGUGCUGCAUACCUGUAGACUCAGCUACUCAGGAGGCUGACGCAGGAGAACCACUUGAACCUGGGAGGCAGAGGUUGCAGUGAGCCAAUAUUGUGCACUGUAUUCCAGCCUGGGUGACAGAGAAAUUUCAUCUCAAACCAAACCCUGUCUCUAGCGAAAAUACAAAAAUUAGCCACGUGUGGUGGUACAGGACUGUAAUCUCAGCUAUUCAGGAGGCUGAGCCAAGAGAAUUGCUUUAACCUGGGAGGCAGAGAUUGCAGUGAGCCAAGACCACGCCGUUGCACUCCAGCUAGGCAACAAGAGCAAAACUCUGUCUCAACCACCACCACCACAAAAGGGCUUAACAGAGGACUAUGCUACUGUUUUCAAGGACAGGAGUUAUUUUCUUGGGGACUAUGAGCUAUUGUGAUUCCCCCUUCCAAUGUGUUAAGGGGCAGAAUAACAGUGUCCAGACUAGAAGAAAUAAGAUGAGGGUGUCGAGGGGGUGGGGCAUGGGGGGGGAUAGUUUCCUCAAACAAAUGGACACACACACAUGCACCACAUUAUACCAUUCCCUUCUCAUCCCCUAGUGACUAUUUCUGGCCUGUGCUGAGGUUCCUGCAGGAGCACGAGGAGCGCUGAGCCGCUGGAGAAAGCUGGUUUGCUUCUACUGGUCAGUGGAGCUACUCAAAGAUGAGGCAAACCCCUCUAGGAUAGACAGAUGAGAUGUCAUCGUGUAUACGAGAAGAAUUAAUUAGGUUCACAAAAUAAUCCUAUCAAUCACCAAGGCCCUUGCUAGAAUUCUGGUGCCAGGCUCCUACUUCCGAAGGAAUUAUUCCUCAAAUGGUCUUUAGAUGAGUGAGCUACAAUCAACCUCUGCCCUGCAUUCCAACUACCGUCUUGAUUCUUAGCUAAUUUUUACUUGAAAACAGUAGACACAACAGGGCCAACCCACUGAAAAGAUCAGAAUAAAGUGAGGAUUUCUUUUUAAACCAUAAUCCCCUUUGUCUUCCUAGAAAUAAGCCCUGGAGCCUGCCUGCCCUGUGUCCAGCACUCAUCUAUAAGCUUGUGAUAUUUUCUUUCUUAAAGCAGUGGGGCUUGUGAUAUUUCUGCUUUCCUGAUCUCUCUCCUCUUCAAAUAAAUGCAAGAUAUCUA